rnacentral:lncRNA from 10 species
AAAGAACAUAGGGAUUCCAGCACCCCUAGUCAUUUUCUGAUGAGCAUUAGUCCUAGAGCGUCCUCUAUGGUCCUAAUGCUUAUUCCUUCCCAGGGUGCGUAACAACCCAUGGACCUCUGCUUAUCAGAUUAGUUAUGCUCACUGAUGUAGCAGUCCUGCAUCUGUUUUCCCACCUCUCUUGACCACAAAGAAAGGGGUCUGGGCUGCUGGAUUCUAGUGGUCCUUUACCAGCGUGCCCAACAUUGCCUUUGCACUCAGGGGUGAGUCCUAGAGCUGGGCUGGGUUCCUGAGUAUUUCAUAACAACCCAGCUGCCCCAUCAAGAUGCAUUCCCAUAAAAGCAGUUCUUAUGCAAAUUCAUUUCAGAGAGGGUGUAGGUAACCUUUUGAGUCAGGAUUCGGAUAGUGUUUUUGAUUCUGUAAGUACUUUAAGGUUUGGCUAAGUGCAAACAGCUCGCACAUUUGAGGAGACCAGUUAUUAGGCAAUUUUUCUAACUCUGCUUCUACAAGAGUCUCCGUAUCAAUUACUGAAUACCCAUUGUGGUUUUUUCCUCAAUCACCUGGGAGGAAACAUCUAUAGUCCUGUCCUGAAGGGAGUUCCUCCUAGGUCUGGUCAGACCUUUGUAUGGUAAUUAAAAUUUAAAUCCCUUGUUAGGAAAUCUGCUGGGUUAAGGGAAUUAUCAGUGGUUGGAGUUACAUUACCCUUUUCUAACAUAAUAGACCCAUACUUUAAGAUUUUUGAGUUAGUAAGCUACCUUUUUCCUUUUUUUUUUUUUUUUUUUUUUGACUUAGAGUAAUUCUGAACUGGUGAGGUGUGCUCACAAUGAGGUUUCCUCUAAAAGUUACUUUUCUACUUUUAGCAAAGCAGUUGCUGCUACUAACUGAAUGCAUUUGGCCCAUCCGUGGGUUACUGGGUUAAGGAUUUUUGAUAGGAAAGCUAUGGAUUGUCAGUGGCCUCAGUGCUUUCGGGCUAUGCCCUUAUUUACACUGACAACAAAGUAGCAUUGAAGUUUUAUAGUGUCACGGAGAAGACCUUCAAUUAUCAUUACAGGAUUUAAAUUUACCCUGGCUUUUAAAGGAAUAGGGCACACUUUUUUUUUUUUUUUUUUUAACUAUUUCUUUUUCUUUCUUUUGCUCUUUGACUCCCUCUUUGUCUCUCUCUCUGUCUCUUUCUCUCUCUGACUCUCUCUCUCUCUCCCUCUCUCUCUCUCUCCGUGUCUCUCUCUUAGCCAUUACAAACUUGGGGCCCUGGCAAGGGUGGUGGGGAAUGGGUCCCACAUAACUGCCCAUUCAAGAGCUAUAUACCUAAAUUGGGAGGGACACCAGGGAUAAGACUCCCUGGGUUAUAGCCUAGGUGCCUAAGGACACAUCAUAGAGCUUCCUUAGAUUCCUUUGGAGAUACAACUUGCUAGAGGAAAUGGAAGUCUGAACCAUUAGUACCCAGGAGGCAGAAAUCAGAGGAAAUAGAUUCAGAGGUCUCAGCAAAUCUCAGUUGUUCCUGAGCACUGCUACAGAGCAGGUUGGAG